AGCUUUGCGCAGUGGCAGUAUCGUAGCCAAUGAGGUUUAUCCGAGGCGUGAUUAUUGCUAAUUGAAAGCUUAUUAUAGGAUAAUUC
rnacentral:snRNA from 1 species